rnacentral:rRNA from 1 species
AACAGCCGCGGUAAUUCCAGCUCCAAUAGCGUAUAUUAAAGUUGUUGCAGUUAAAAAGCUCGUAGUUGAAUUUCGGGAUUGACACAUCGGUCGUGCCUUAAGGGGUAUGAACUGGUGUAGUCAAUUUCUCACCUUCUGGAGAACCGCGAUGCCCUUAAUUGGGUGUCACGGGGAACCAGGACCUUUACUUUGAAAAAUUAGAGUAGUUUAAAGCAGGCAUUUUGCUUGAAUACAUUAGCAUGGAAUAAUAAAAUAGGACGGCAUGAUUCUAUUUUGUUGGUUUCUAGGAUCACCGUAAUGAUUAAUAGGGAUAGUUGGGGGCAUUAGUAUUCAAUUGUCAGAGGUGAAAUUCUUGGAUUUAUUGAAGACUAACUACUGCGAAAGCAUUUGCCAAGGAUGUUUUCAUUAAUCAAGAACGAAAGUUAGGG